rnacentral:lncRNA from 1 species
GAGCUGUUGCUCUGAGCUGCAGAGAUGCUGUACCGAAGCUCUGACAUGCUGAGCCCUGUCCAAUUCCUCCAAAGCACGCUGUUCCAUGUACCUUUGAGAUGCCAGCUCCUCCAGGGUGAGGUGGGCUGUGCAGCAGAGCUGUCCCCGCUCACACUGUAAUCCUCAGCCCUCAGCUGUCAGCGUCUCGGAUGAGUUCUUGGAGGGUAUCCAGACAAACACAGGAGAGAUUUCAACUGCUGCGAUCCCCUGUCCUAUUUUAUCUCAUUUCUGACAGCCCAUGUCUGCUGAGGCUGGGAAGUGGUGAGGAGACGAGAGCAGCUUCCUGCAUUUGUGGAUGGAGAAGCACUCCUUCCUCUAACAGCCUGCUUGCUUUGCCUGUUUCCUGCAGUACUGAUGCACUGUCUCUUGCCUUCUGGACCAGCUGCAUCUUCAGGACAACGUCCCAGAUGGCUCUUUUAGGGAAAGAAAUCAGAGACUGAUUGGUGGCCAAAAAAAGUCUCUCAUCCAGUAUCAAAGCUUUAGCUGCACCUUAUGCUUCCCAAGGACGGCUUGGAAAGGGCACAGUGGAGCUGCUGCUGAUCCUCUUGCACCGGGCUCAGGGGGUAUCUGGAGAAACCCUGUGUUUCCAGAUAAGGACGUGCUGGAUUUACAGUUGCCUACCACUGUUAAUGCAUCCUCGUCUGCGUGGUCGUGUGAAGGUUGCUUUCCCGUUGACCAGAGGGAGACCCGUGGCUCAUCUGUGCACCCUUCUUAGAGCUGCUGAAUAGACUCAGAAUGGGGUGAUGGCCCCAUGCUCCUUCCUGGGGUCUCCUCUUCCUCAAGAGCCAGCGCAGGCCAGCUAAUGUCCAGGUGCAAAGGGUGCACCGCCCUCUGCCAUGCCAUCUACCUGGUGAUAUCAAGGCCAAGAGCGUCACGUUCUGGAUGUUCAUAAAUUACAAGGGAAACAGCUUUCUUCCUUCACCCCUUGAACUUUUAUUCAUUCCUCCAUUGUGUUAAUGAAUACGUGGUCUAAGCUGUAUGUCAGUCCCUGUUCUUGCUUGCUGUAGAUGAGGCUGGCUUGUCAGCGCUUGGCCUCCUUUUGCCAUCAGCUCGAGUGGAGCUGUUACACGUUAGUUCUCCAGCAGUAUUUUGAUUACCUCUCAUAACACAACGCUGUCAAUGCAGACUGACCAAUACAGCAAUUCAAUGAGCGUGUUGCUCUUGACAAGCCUUAUUUGCCCUGGAUAAGUCAGGUGGAAUAUCUUCAGCUGCAGGUAAUAGGCAGUAACAUCCUCUCUGUGUGUUAGCUGAAGGUUUCCUGAACUAACUCUGAGCAGGGAACUGUGGAGUCCAGAAACAGCAGCUCUGCUUUAAGUGAGGCUCUUGCCCUGGGUAAUCAUCCCAUCCUGAGAAGCACAACGUACUAUCUCAGGCUUCUUCCUAAGCCUGCAAAGCCUCCUUCCCAAAUGCUUCUGAAGAAGCCAAAGCGGGAUCUGCUCUGGCAGAAAGAAGCCUGCAGACCUGGAUCCUCUCCCCUCAGCCACUGCAGCCCUGGAUGGUGUUUAUUGGCAGGCAUCGCUCCCAGUGCUCCUGCUCACCUCGUGCUCUCCCAGGAGAAACAAGCUUCACAUGAUGGCUUUGGAAAUAAGUCAGGGCAUGUGUCUUGGGCAGAACGAAAGGAGCUGGAAACCUGAGCUUUGUUUGCAUGCACGUUGUUCCUGGCUUUGGCAGGGAUGAGCCCUGACUCCGUGCAGCUGCCGUGACUGGUUUACUGGGCACAGCAUGAGGUCCCUCCUCCUUGAAGGACAUUCACUGUAUUUUGAAGCCACGACCGCCGGCAGAGGUAAGAUUCGUGCUUCCUGAGAGCAGCAAGCUUUUUCUGCUUGCCUCCCAGCUUGCCAGCUUGGGUGAACAGCUCUGCAGGAGGGCAAGGAGGGGAGCUGCAUGCAAUUACCUGCGAACACUGGGAAGCGGUGAGAGGUCCCGCUAUCAGCCACGGCCCAGCUGUACCAGGUGAGCCUGCUCCCAGUAUCCUUGGCUCCUGCAGAUGCACGUGAACCAGGCUGGCUGUGUGCUCCAGGUGGAGGAGAAAAGGAGCCUUUCAUCUGCUCCUCACAGAGCAGGCUGGCAGCCAGCUCACGCCUGCUGUUUGGUUCCCUCUGCCACAGCCGGAGCGGGGAGGUGGGAGCUGAGCAGCUGUGCCCCUCCCCAGGGGUCAGCCCAGGGUGGGAAAUGUUAGGGAUGGGCUCUGCUCCCUGUGUUAGCAAUCAGAUUGGGCUGUGGUGUCACACAGGGGGUCACUCCUGGAGCCGCUCCCACGAGCCAGGUGAGAGCUAGCUGAUUUAUCAGGUGCUCUUUGGGCUGUGCACCCUUCCCAGUGUCCUUGGGUAUGCGAGCCUGGAUGCAGGCCCUUCUCCUGCCCUUCACAAGGUGUCUCUCCUUCCUACAUGGACACCCUUGCUCCCCGUCGCUGCGGCAGCAUCCUCCUGUGUUGCUGUCUCAGCUGUGCAGGCUCUGCCAAGGCAAUGCUUCCCCUCCUCCCUGCCCACCGUGCUGUGCCAGCGAGCCCAAACCCACUGUGCUGGUCUCCUGAUUUGUUUUGGUUCAUGUUCCAGACGAGGAUAAAGUAGCAGAUAUUUCUGUGCAGCGAUAGGAUCUCACCAGCCAGCCUUGCUUUAAUGCGAUCCCAGGCAUUCGAGGUGCCCGAUUACCUUAUCUCCCCUCUGCAGAUAUACCUUACUCACCCCUCUCAACCUAAAAACGAGCCAGCCCAGGUGGGAGCUGCAGAAACUCGGCCUCUGCAGCCCUGCAGGCAAAUGGUCGGGCAGAAAGCAUUGAGUGAGGCUCCCACCCUGUGUGCUUUUGCUGCACGAGGUUCCCUUCUUUCUGCUUGCAGCUCUGUGCUGCAGCGGGGUGGCUGGGAAGGCUGCAUCACAGCUGACUCACAGUGCUGGCACGGCGGGAGCCCCACGCACUGGUUGCCCCCCACGCACUGGUUGCCCCCCAGCUCCACAGGGGCACCUGUUUGCUCCCUGGCUUUGCAGUUCAGCAGUCCCUGAGAUGGGCCUGAGGUUGCUGCACGCAGGGGCAGUGAGGCUGUGCCUCGUCCCAGCCUUCCCAGCUGCAUCUUGCUGCUCUCCCUCUGUCACAUGAGCAUUACACCAUCUCUCCCUUGGAGAAUGAGUGUGGAACGUGUCUGGUUGCCAGAGCAAAGUGAAAUCUGCUCCAGCUUCAAACGCAUGCAAUCCCAAGCUGUGCGCUUUGGGUAAAUGCUAAAUCCUAUCUCUGGUUCAUAAAGAGGGGAGAUUGAUGCUGAAGCACGGCGUGGGCACCAAACACCCCAUGCUUUGCAGCUCUCGGGUCUCCUGGAAGCUCCUUGAUUCAAAGGGAAACGUCCCCAGCCAGUGUGAGUCACAGGGCAUAGGUGGGCCGGGUCAGCCCUGAGCAAACACUCAGAUAUAGGGGUGAGGAUUGCUCCAUCAGAUGGCCAAGAAGCUGUUGGUGGCAGAACAGCCUCUGCGAGCAGGCAGUGCAGAAAAAUAAGUGCAAAAUGGAAGGGGGGAGAGGGGGGGGGGAGCUGGAAAUCAACGGCUCAACAGCAGCUCAUCCAAUACAGAGCCUUGAAAAGAUAGGGAUUUUGAAGGGAGGUGAAAAGAUGUGAUGAGAAACUGCAUGGGAAUUUCUAGCAGUGAGGAGGAGGAACUGAAUGAUAGCAUAUUGGGAUUGGGGGGGAGGAGGGAAGAGUCCAAAAGCUCUUAGCUAUAGGAAUAUAGGAAUUGGGAGAGUGGAGUGCAUGUUUUUGUAAUCUGAUGGGGCUGAUGCCAUUCCCACGUGAUGUGCAUGGAUCUGCUUCCAUUCCUGCAGCACUGGGCAGUGCAGGGGCUCUGGGUCACCCCCAUUGCCUGUGCCCAGGUCCUGAGCUCCGGGCAGCACAGCUCAGCUGCCCACCAGCUCCGUGGAAUAUGGUCGAUGGAGGUUUUUCUUUUUGUGGGGUUAUGUAAUGAUUGACCUCGUGGAAAUGGGUCUUAUGAAAGCAUGGAAUCGGCUUAGCUUGCGGACGGCUCGAGCUGCCACGCAGGAGAUGCUAUCAAUGCUGUUAGGAAUUCACACUUUUGUACGGUUGGGAAGCAUUUGACUCCACCUCAUUGUGUCUUGGCUGGACAAAUAGGCCUGGGUCACAGCUAUAUCUUUCCCUGGACCAGGCUGAGCUGUGUGCCAGCAGCCGGCUGACUCACAGAGCAGCUCCAGGUCUGCCCGUGGCCGUGCAGCCGGAGCUAUCGUGCCUGCCUCUGCCAUAGGAGCCCCGUGUGCAGGAGCUGCAGGGAGGAGAGGCAGCGCUCUGCCAUCCUUCUGAGCAGAGCAGAUGAACCCACACCUAAUUGCUUUUAAAAACUCCCUGUUGCUAUGGUGACUCAACAAGCAUGAUGCUCUCGAGUGCUUCUCUCCACUCCCAGGUCUUGCGUUGGCACCGGGAAGCUGUGUGUGUACCUAUGUACGUACAUCUGCUUUCUUCCAGCUUUCAAAGGUGGCAUCCAGUCCCCUUGGAGCGUGAGCAGAAUCCCUUCUGAGCUGGGGAAAGGUUUGCUUGAAAGGUCUUGUAAUAAGGUUAAGGAGAGGCCAGCAGCCGCUCGCCCUGCUGCUGAGCACUUCAGUAGCUAAAUUUAGACCCUUGAGUCAUUACUGAGUCAGCAAAUUGGGGGCAGGAAAUCUUGAUUUCUCUUCUCUUCCUUUUUCAUCAGCGACGGAUCCAAGACGGGCUCCUGACUGCUUUCUCUCUCAAUCCAGCACGCUGCCUCCCGCACUGCUUUCCCCUGGAGCAUCCUUGAGCCUGGCCAGAAGAAGUCAGAGCUCCUUUCCUCUCUGCUGCAGCCACCUGCCCUGACAAGUGGCCUGUCCUCGGGGAAGCGGCAUCGUUUCCUAUCAUUAGUGAUGCGGGGCACGGGAAGCUGUGUCCACUCAGCUUUGUCUCUUGCUGGGUGCACACUGGCCGAGGCCGGUGGCAGCUCAUGCGUCCCCUGGAGCUGCCUUGAAACCCAGUGAUGGGUAAAGAAACCCCAUCCAGCUGCUCUUCUCUGUGCCUGCGAGUGCCUCAGCACGGUGAAUAGCAACGGAAGAGCUCAGGAGAAACAAGCAUGAGUGGUAGAAAUAAGCAGCAUCAAGAGAUCCAGCAAGCGAAGGAUGAAAAAUCAGAGUAACGGCCAAGGAGACGACAUCCACUUGACUUCUCUUGCCCGUGGUGUGAGCAAUUAAUCCAGCUAAGGCAUGGCAGUGGAGUGAGGCCAGGAACAGCAGGAGGACGGCGCUGCACCGGCAGCAGCAAGGUGUGCUACCCCCCUCCGUGCUGCCUUUGAUUUGCUUCCAGGAGGGAACUCUGCUCCCCAUUCUGAGCAGGCCCAGCGCUGGCUGGCAGAGCAGCGGGAGCCCCGCUGUAACUAAUGAGAUGUUUGCUGCUCGCUGCUGACACUGCGGUGGGUUCUCAGUGUGUCUGAGCCCUGUGCUGAUAAACCGAGCCUCCCGGAGAUGGAGUGGCUUCCCUCAGCUACGGGCCUGCUGUGCUCACUCUUAUCUAAUAGGAUCUUUCCUCUGAGCUCUGCUUAAGCCUCCUGUGUAGCAUACCAAACCACCGAGGUUUGAUCCUGCAGAGAAGCGGUGCGGAGUGAGAGCAGAGCUGAGUGUCAGCUGCCCUCCUUUGGGUCACUGCUGUGCAGGGCACGCGCUCGUGGGGGGUCUGUGGGUUCCCUGUGGCUCUGGAAGGUGUUGGACGAGGGGGCUUUCCCCCCAGCCAAACAGUCAUCCCCUCCUUGCUGCCGUAGCUCAUUAGGGGACGGGUGUCCGCCUCUCCCCCGUUAUUUAUUACGCUGUAAAAGCCAAGGUAACGUACAUCAGUAAGUGCUGUGAAGGGUUUCACACGUGUCAGCUGUGCGUACUUUAUGGAGCAGACACUCUUUGAAGACAACGGGCUCCGUGCGGGGAGGCUGCUGUGAUUAAUGCUGCAGCCUUCGGCUGGCUGCUCCCUCCCUGCUGCCACACCGAGCUGAUUUCCCAGGGUGCCCCGAAAACGCUCACGGAGAGGCCUGGGACAGAGGGGAGGGAAAGGCUGUGUGCCUCCCGUUGGCAGGAGGAUGGGCAGAGCACACAAGGAGAAGUUUCUUCUCCAAAAGAUGGGUGAUGCGGUGGCACAGCUGCCCAGGGAGCGCUGGGGUCACCGUCCCUGCAGGUGCUCCACAGCCACGGGGAUGUGGCACUGAGGGAUGUGGGCAUGGUGGGGUGGGCUGGGGAUGCUGGAAACUUGUUUUGGAGACGGUCAGACCCUGUCCUGUAGGCACCUGCCUGUCACAGGGGGUGUCCUGCAUCUCCAGCAGUUACCCUGGGCAGAUCCAGCUCUCCUGCAGGACGCUCUCCGUUGCUGCUCCUCGCUGGUUCUGAGGAUUUCUUUCUCCCAACGCUUGUAGGUGAUUGCUUCCUCCUUCUCCUCCGCCUUCCUUUUGUCUCUCUGCAGCACGACAGGUCUGGGAAGGGCCAUCUGCCGCUGUGAUUAAUGGCCCUUUUCUGGAAAAACAACAGAGACAAAUGUCCUUCUGAGCACGGCAGAGAGAAGCGGAGAAGCAAGCUGGCUAAUUUUCAGCCAUUAUUUUGGAACCCCAACUCCUUCCCGGUAUCAAUUUAGCUAUUAUUUCAAAAGCUAAUUAAUCCUCACUCAUGCAGCUCCGAGGGACCGGUGUUUAGAUAAUUAACAGCCCGUGGAUUACGACAAGCCCUGCUCUCGGAUCCCGUUACAGCUCUUGCCUUCAAGUACACUCGCGCUGUCGUUCUGCUUACCAACUCCUUUCAUCAAUCCAUCUUUUUAUUUGACAAUUAACAACAAAUAAUUAGCCGGGAUGGAUCCUAUUUGCUUUCUUGCAGCUCAGCUCCGUUUUGGGGGACUGAAGUGUUCUUCAGCUGUGUGGGUCUGUAGGGAUUGUGGAGCUCGUUACAACCAAGCAGGACAGGUCGCUGCCGUUACCAGCGUCUGGAAAAGGGAGUUCUUAUUGCUCAGCUCCUCAGUGAGUGACAUCAGGUGUGAGAAAGGAGGUGCUGCUGUAAGGUUGUUGGUACCUCUCCAUCCCAAGCUCCCAUCCCAGGAGAAUGUCUCUUCCAGCUGCCCAAAGCCUCUCUUCUGCCGCUGCUCCGAACUCCUCUUAGGAGACUUCUGCCUGUGAAUAGAUUUGUCUUUGCUAACUUUGCUCAGGAAAGCUUCAGUUCCACGAGGAGUUUCCAUCUUACCUUUCAAAGAGGUGAAGCUCGGUCUCAGCCUUUUUCCCUGUGAGAUGCAGGUCCCUGGCUGGCAUCCCCUCUCCUCUGGCUCUCCAAGCUGAUGGGCACCUGGAAGACUCCUGUAAGGCUGGGAGAACACCUGUCGUCUCUGCACCUCCUGCCCACUGAGCGAGGGGCCCAAGCUGCCCUGGUCCCUGAGCUGGCUCUGCUUGGGCAGCACGAGGGCAUCCAUCAGCUUGUGCUGGUUUUAAACAGCUGAUAUGGAUGCAGACUCACUCCUGGUUUCAGGCAGAAGGAAAUCCUUUCUGAUAAGCUGCUGCUUUUUCAAACAGACGAUAAAGCUCUGCAGGUAGAACUCCCUGUGCUAGCAGUUUGACCCCUAAUGAAGUAUUUACCAGGAUGGCACCUUGCUCUGCCUCAGGAAAUACUGUCCUUUCACCUGUGUGCAGCUCUCAGGUCUUUUGCAAAGCCCACGGUUUAAGGAGAGCAUCAAAGCAGCCAGCAAUCCUCUCCUUCCCCUUCUCAAUCUCUCUCCAUUCCCACUGCGGAUGCGGUUUGCCAGAGACCCUGGGGCUCUGCACCUUGGAGAGCAAAGGGCUUGCAGGAGAGCUGCACAUCAUUGUGUUUGGGAUGCUGUGUCCUCCCUGCUGCAAUCAGAGCAGCGACAUGGAACCAGGAGGGUGGUGAGCCUGGUGGAAAUGCCACUCCUGCUGGCUGUGAGCAAUGGCAAAUAGAACAAGGGGCUGCUGCUGAGCCUGGCGUGUGCACCCUGAGGUGGCUGUUUGGGGUGGAGGCACCUUCAGGAUUGAGCUUUUUGGGGAAGGUUGCACUCUUUUGUGCAUGUUUUAAUGAUUUGCCAUGGUAUUCUGUUUCAGCGGGACCGGACAUCUUCCUCUGCCACGCUGCCCCGACCUUUGUGGUGAGGUUGUGCAUGGAGAAAUGUGCUGAACCACCCCGUUGCCAUGGAAACCAAGGCCGAGAGGGGACCAGCCUGCUCCUGCUAAUUGCUGUGGCUUUGUGACCCCAUCCGUCCAUCCUGCUGCCUCCCGUGAGCCUGUCCGAAUGCACAGCGCUGGCCCCAUCCUGCAUCAUCCUGCCCUUUGGCUCCCAGCCCCAAUGCUGUGAGCAGGAUCUGGGGUUCCUCUUUCUCUCCUUUGUGUUGUCACAACCUGCACAAGAUCAGUUAAAAUCCGUGGCUUGAGCAUCCCUGCAGCCCAUCACCCCGUGCGUGCACAUCUGCCUGCAUGCUUGUUGCAGGAGCACGGUGGCGGUGCAGUGAUGCACCUCCCUUGCCCUGCAUCCCGGGCUGCCCUGCCUUUAUCUCGUCCAAUUAAAUAACUGCAGAUAGUGGGCUUAAUAAGGCCCUGCUAUGAAAGAUUACUGACGAUUUCUUUCCCAACGUGCGGUGAAUUAGGAGGCAGUGAGCAGAGAAAGGACUGCUGCUAAUUACAGUCCCCCAUGUCCCCUCUGCUGCCACCACUGCUGCUGGGCCCCUCGCUGCUCCCUGCACCUGAUUGCAUUUUGCUGCUGGUUGUGGCCAAUUUGCAGCUCUCAGCUGCUGCUGCUUCUCCCUUCCCCCCACGCCCCCUGCUCCUCUUCGAGUUUAUUAAUGAAAACCUUAUCUGUCGGUGCAGAUAAUGCCAGAAAUAAUUAGUGCACACGGAGGGCUGGCAGGCUGCUCUCUGCUCCCACCACCCACACCCUCUCCUCUCACUGUUUACAGUUUCCUGUGCUGCUUGGGGCUGCUUUUUGGGUUUUUAAGCCUCCUUGCUCUGUACAGAUUUAUUUGCUUCUCUCUCUCUCUCCAAGUUUUCCUUGCUCAGAAAGAGACAGACAGACCUGAGGCACAGAUGCAUCCUAAAGAGCUUGACCUUAAGCACCUGGGCUGCAGGUGCCCUGACCUUAUGGCUGCUGGAAAUGGGGAGCUGCCCCCCAAUGCCCAAGAGCAGGGAUUGCAUUUGCUCCUGGCAUGCUCUGGUCAGGUCAUGGCCCUGCUCCUGCUGCGCCAGCGCCGUCCUCGCUUUGCUCGUGCUCCCUUUCAUUACACUUAGCAUCAUUGUCUCUUGGCUUAAAUCUUUCAGCCUGAUAAAGGACGACAGCGCUGCUCGAGUGCCUGGGAUGGCAUAAAUAAUUCCAGUGCUGAGAGAGAUUUACAGCUAUAUAAAUGUCAGGAGCGAGCCCAGUUUGUAUUAAUGGCCUUAUUAGUUACAUUGCUGUAAAAUACAGAUCCUCCAAUUGUUAAGCGGCCGUGGUUUUGGUCCACAGCAUUAAUCCAAUAAAUUUGGGCUUCUCAAUACAAAUCUUCAUCUCUGAACCCCACUGGAAAAUCCUUCAUGGUAUGUCAGAGAGCUUUAAAUGGCUGUGGCUGAGACAGAGGUGGGAAUAACAGAGCUGGUGGGAGCACAGGUGUAAGGCAGCGCAGCAGCCCAUCCCCACCCAAGGGCAUGGGAAGUGUGGAGGUCCCUUGGCCGUGAGGAGCUGUGGGGUGGGAUUGGUGCUUUUGUCACCAGCUUGGAAACCACAGCCCAACCCAAGAGCUCCCAUGGCUCUGAGGUGUCCGUCCGUCCUUCCCACCCUGCUGCCAUCCCUCCCUGUACCAUGGUGCAUCUCGUAUGAGGACGUUCUGCAACUCUGCAAACUUUCCACCAGCGACCUGCCAAGUGCAUGGGGAGGGAGAGGGGAAAGCACCACGAUAAUUGAAAAUAAAUGGUGCAUUAUAUGAAAUAAAUGUUCUGGUGCAG